UGAGCCUGGUGUGAUGUUGCCCGUCUGGUUGUCCACUCGGUCACCCUCCUCCAUGGCUGCUGCUGCUGCACUUCUGGUAUGGAUCAGGUUGUGGAGGACGCUUGCAGCG